GAUGGACGCUAGCGGCAGGCCUAAUACAUGCAAGUCGAGGGAGAAGUUUGGUGCUUGCACUAGAUGGGAACCGGCGAACGGGUGCGUAACACGUAUGCAACCUACCUAUAACUGGGGGAUAGCCCGAAGAAAUUCGGAUUAAUACCCUAUAAUACUUAUUUACCGCAUGGUAGAUAUUUAAAACUCCGGUGGUUAUAGAUGGGCAUGCGGCCUAUUAGUUUGUUGGUGAGGUAACGGCUCACCAAGACUACGAUAGGUAGGGGGUCUGAGAGGAUGAUCCCCCACACUGGUACUGAGACACGGACCAG
rnacentral:rRNA from 1 species